UGCAGUCGAACGAUGAAGCCCUUCGGGGUGGAUUAGUGGCGAACGGGUGAGUAACACGUGGGCAAUCUGCCCUUCACUCUGGGACAAGCCCUGGAAACGGGGUCUAAUACCGGAUAUGAGCCUGGGAGGCAUCUCCCGGGCUGUAAAGCUCCGGCGGUGAAGGAUGAGCCCGCGGCCUAUCAGCUUGUUGGUGAGGUAACGGCUCACCAAGGCGACGACGGGUAGCCGGCCUGAGAGGGCGACCGGCCACACUGGGACUGAGACACGGCCCAGACUCCUACGGGAGGCAGCAGUGGGGAAUAUUGCACAAUGGGCGAAAGCCUGAUGCAGCGACGCCGCGUGAGGGAUGACGGCCUUCGGGUUGUAAACCUCUUUCAGCAGGGAAGAAGCGAAAGUGACGGUACCUGCAGAAGAAGCGCCGGCUAACUACGUGCCAGCAGCCGCGGUAAUACGUAGGGCGCAAGCGUUGUCCGGAAUUAUUGGGCGUAAAGAGCUCGUAGGCGGCUUGUCACGUCGAUUGUGAAAGCCCGAGGCUUAACCUCGGGUCUGCAGUCGAUACGGGCUAGCUAGAGUGUGGUAGGGGAGAUCGGAAUUCCUGGUGUAGCGGUGAAAUGCGCAGAUAUCAGG
rnacentral:rRNA from 1 species